ACGUAGGGCGCAAGCGUUAUCCGGAUUUAUUGGGCGUAAAGGGCUCGUAGGCGGCUCGUCGCGUCCGGUGUGAAAGUCCAUCGCUUAACGGUGGAUCUGCGCCGGGUACGGGCGGGCUGGAGUGCGGUAGGGGAGACUGGAAUUCCCGGUGUAACGGUGGAAUGUGUAGAUAUCGGGAAGAACACCAAUGGCGAAGGCAGGUCUCUGGGCCGUUACUGACGCUGAGGAGCGAAAGCGUGGGGAGCGAACAG
rnacentral:rRNA from 1 species